GGAUUGCCCCAGUAACGGCGAGUGAAGCGGCAACAGCUCAAAUUUGAAAUCUGGCCCUCUCCGGGGUCCGAGUUGUAAUUUGCAGAGGAUGCUUCGGCGAAGGCCCCGGGUCAAGUCCCCUGGAACGGGGCGUCCCAGAGGGUGAGAGCCCCGUACGCCCCCGGCAGGCCGCCGCCGCGUGAAGCUCCUUCGACGAGUCGAGUUGUUUGGGAAUGCAGCUCCAAGCGGGAGGUAAAUUCCUUCUAAGGCUCAAUACAGGCCGGAGACCGAUAGCGCACAAGUAGAGUGAUCGAAAGAUGAAAAGCACUUUGGAAAGAGAGUCAAAAAGCACGUGAAAUUGUUGAGAGGGAAGCGCUUGCCGCCAGACCUGCCGCGGUCGUUCAGCCGCCCCCCGGGGCGGCGCACUCUUCCGCGGCGGGCCAGCGUCAGUUCGGGCGGCCGGACAAGGGCUCCGGGGAUGUGGCCGCCCUAGGGCGGUGUUAUAACCCGGGGCGUCAUGCGGUCGCCCGGUCUGAGGCACGCGUUCGCGAGGACGCUGGCGUAAUGGCCGCAAGCGGCCCGUCUUGAAACACGGACCAAGGAGUCUAACAUUCACGCGAGUGUUCGGGCGUCAAACCCGCGCGCGAAAUCAACGUGAACGGAGGUGGGAGCCCUCGGGGCGCACCAUCGACCGAUCCUGAUGUCCUCUGAUGGAUUUGAGUAAGAGCGUGGCCGUUGGGACCCGAAAGGUAAGUGGUUUUCCCCCCCAAUUAAUGCCUCUCGGGGGGUUAUCUUUGCAGCACGAAUUGCUGACCGAUUUUAGAUGGUGAACUAUACCUGGAUAGGGUGAAGCCAGAGGAAACUCUGGUGGAGGCUCGCAGCGGUUCUGACGUGCAAAUCGAUCGUCGAAUCUUGGUAUAGGGGCGAAAGACUAAUCGAACC
rnacentral:rRNA from 1 species